ensembl:lncRNA
GUUUAACGUGUUAAUGAGUAUGUCUCUGCACAUCGUCUGCAGUGUUUAAUCCUUGGGAGCGACUGACCUUGUUUCUCAAAGUAAGACGGCGGAUAUAACUGAGCAAAUUUUCACGAGUGUCUCUGUUUUUUCUCUCUGUGGGAGCACCGUUUUCCGUCUCAACGUGGGUCCUUUGUCUUCGUCUCUUGUAAUCGGGAUGAGGUGGACAGCUACAGAGUAUUACUGUCACCUCACCUUCACUGAAUCAGCAGAGAACAUGGGGAACACCAUCACUGCAUGCCAGAUGAGCAACUACAGCGGCAAGAACGUCCGGGUUUUCGUCACGGAAAAGGCUCUGGAGAUUGACGCCUUCAUCACCUCCCAGUCUGGUGGUGAUGAUAAGAUCGUGUCUGUGCUUCCCGGAGGUAAAAAGUUCAGCUUCAGGAAAGACGUGAACUGUGUGCGUGUGCUGGCCUCUCAGACUCAGGAAGUGUCCUGGGAGCCUCAACACUUUCUGUCCGUCUUUGUGGAGGAUGAAGACGAUGAAAACAUCUGCUGCAAACAAGUCAUACACAACAUGGCCCUGAGCUCUCCAGUCACUGUGCUGCUCUAUGAUGUGUAGAGUAAGUCAUUGUUGUCUGCACACUUACAGAUGGAGAGCAGUUAUUUUAUUGUCAGGAGAAAAUGACCUAAAACAUUUUCAAUGAUAGAAUUCAUUCUGCUGUUAUAUCUUGUGAUGCCUCCAAUAAAAGUGUCGC